AUUGAACGCUGGCGGCAUGCUUUACACAUGCAAGUCGAACGGCAGCGCGGGCUUCGGCCUGGCGGCGAGUGGCGAACGGGUGAGUAAUUCAUCGGAACGUGCCCAGUAGUGGGGGAUAGCCCGGCGAAAGCCGGAUUAAUACCGCAUACGACCUGAGGGUGAAAGCGGGGGACCGAAAUGCCUCGCGCUAUUCGAGCGGCCGAUGUCGGAUUAGCCAGUUGGUGGGGUAAAGGCUUACCAAGGCGACGAUCCGUAGCUGGCCUGGAAGGACGACCAGCCACACUGAGACUUGGACACGGCCAAGACUCCUACGGGAGGCAGCAGUGGGGAAUUUAGGACAAUAGGGGCAACCCUGAUCCAGCGAUGCCGCGUGCGAGAAGAAGGCCUUCGGGUUGUAAACAGCUUUUGUGCGGGAAGAAAUCCUCUGGGCUAAUACCCCGGGGGGAUGACGGUACCGGGAGAAUAAGCACCGGCUAACUACGUG
rnacentral:rRNA from 1 species